rnacentral:rRNA from 1 species
CGAACGGGUGAGUAACACGUGGGUAACCUGCCCAGAAGUAGGGGAUAACACCUGGAAACAGAUGCUAAUACCGUAUAACAGAGAAAACCGCAUGGUUUUCUUUUAAAAGAUGGCUCUGCUAUCACUUCUGGAUGGACCCGCGGCGUAUUAGCUAGUUGGUGAGGUAAAGGCUCACCAAGGCAGUGAUACGUAGCCGACCUGAGAGGGUAAUCGGCCACAUUGGGACUGAGACACGGCCCAGACUCCUACGGGAGGCAGCAGUAGGGAAUCUUCCACAAUGGACGCAAGUCUGAUGGAGCAACGCCGCGUGAGUGAAGAAGGGUUUCGGCUCGUAAAGCUCUGUUGUUAAAGAAGAACGUGGGUAAGAGUAACUGUUUACCCAGUGACGGUAUUUAACCAGAAAGCCACGGCUAACUACGUGCCAGCAGCCGCGGUAAUACGUAGGUGGCAAGCGUUAUCCGGAUUUAUUGGGCGUAAAGCGAGCGCAGGCGGUCUUUUAAGUCUAAUGUGAAAGCCUUCGGCUCAACCGAAGAAGUGCAUUGGAAACUGGGAGACUUGAGUGCAGAAGAGGACAGUGGAACUCCAUGUGUAGCGGUGAAAUGCGUAGAUAUAUGGAAGAACACCAGUGGCGAAG